rnacentral:rRNA from 1 species
UACGAAGGGGACUAGCGUUGUUCGGAAUCACUGGGCGUAAAGCGCACGUAGGCGGAUUUGUAAGUCAGGGGUGAAAUCCCGGGGCUCAACCUCGGAACUGCCUUUGAUACUGCAAGUCUUGAGUCCGAUAGAGGUGGGUGGAAUUCCUAGUGUUAGAGGUGAAAUUCGUAGAUAUUAGGAAGAACACCGGUGGCGAAGGCGGCCCACUGGAUCGGUACUGACGCUGAGGUGCGAAAGCGUGGGGAGCAAACAGG